GGUUCGUCCUGGGCUGCGGCGGCUGGCGUUUCUUAGCGACGAGGUGCCGCCAUGCGGGGCGUGCUGCUGGCCCUGCUGCUGGCGUGGGUGGCCGGCUGGAGCCCUGGCAGCCCGCCCGGAGCCGCCGCCGAGCUCGCCGCAGGGGCCGCGCAUCGGGCCGUUCCCCGAAGCGAGGAAGUGGCCUCGCGCCGAGCCCCCGCGGCCCAGGCCGGCUCCCAGACCUCCGCCACCGGGGCCUGCCGCGGCGGUCCCGCUCCUCAUAUCCGUCGCCGCGCCCCGCGGGCACCUGCCCGCAGCCCCGCCGCCGGCGGCUUUCCCGCCCGCUACCUGCCGCCCGGCGCCCGCGGCCUGAGGGAUCCCGGGGCUGCUGAGUCAUCCCGUCUGUCCAGCGGCAGCAGGACUGUGAGUCAAGUGUGUGUGGAAAAAUCACUCCUGUUCAGAAGUAAUGCCCCUUACCCUACUGACAGCAUUCCUGUUCCUGGUGGACAUGAUCUGUUCUGUGUGCAGCUGCAUGACUCAAAGCUGAACUACUACCAACAGCCACAGGAUAUCAAAGAAUCUGAUUUUUUGAAGUUCUCAGAGAAGUAUGGCAGACACUCUUUUGUAGCACCAUCACAAGUCCAGCGAUCAUUCUCUCCCUUUUACCGGGCUGGGGAUCCAAUCCUAAUCUACUUUGAUUCAUCAUCUGCACUGAGCACACUUAGACAGCCAGUAAAAAUGGGAUCCAGUGGACUUUGUGUUGAUGGAAAUCCUGCUGGCUUCCUGGACAGUAAAAGCACAAGCUGUACUCGGAUUUUUGCCAACUUGAGCAAGAGCUGCGUUACUGACCCUGUCCUAGAUGCUGCCUCCUACUACCGUGACUUCUAUGUGCUAAAGGUCCCAGUUAAUGACACCAUUGUGCAGUCCAUGAAGAUAAAGGUCACUGCAGUUGCACCACCUGAAGCUCCCCGAAUGAAAGGCAACACAUGUAACAACGUUGUUUCUGAGGUGAUCUAUGAGAUAGAAUUCAGUGGCACACAUGGGAUUCAGAGUGUUUCUGUCUGGUUCAAAGUGAGCAACAUCUCUGGGAACUCAGGAUCUGCUCUGCAGCAGCGCUUCACUUUGCAUUUCUGGAUGAACUUGCCAGACCAGGACUCUUUCUCAUAUGUUGCCUAGAAGUGGAAACCCUGGCUAUAUCACUGGAGCACCACUGUUGAUUACAAACAGGGGUGCAACGCAGCAUAUGAGCAUUCUGCGGAGUGAAGGUCAUGGAAGUUGCUCACCGUUUCUCCGACACACAGUACAAUUUGGAAGAAAUAUGAGGACAGGCUGCAAGCUCAGCCUAUCCCCAGUACUGGAAGAAAGUAACUGUAGUUAUACCCAGCAGAAGUUAUAUGAGGCUUUUCAGGGGAUGAAGAGAGCAGAGGACCUUGCUAUAACUGGCAGUGCUCAUUCAACCCAGGCAGAAGAGUGGAUCACCAUUCUGAUUCAGAACUGCAGUGUGCAGGCUGUGAACUGCGUUUCCUGUUGCAUGAUUCCUAUGACCCUGGAGAUACAGAUACUGUGGACAAAAGUGGGCCUCCUGUCCAACCCAGAGGCUCAAAUACUGGGUGCACGGUACCUCUAUCAUUGUCACCCCCUGAAGUUCCUAAGCACAAGCACGGUACCUUUGACAACUGUUGUUACCUUCACUGACAUGACGGAAUGGCCAGAACCUCCAAGAGGCCAGCCCCAAAUACACUGGAAACUCCCAUUUGACGUCUUUUUCCCAUUUAAGGUGGCAAUGAAUUUGGAAAGAAGUUACAGAGAUGAUCUGGCUGGCUAUUUUUUCUUGAUUCUAAUAAUCUGCAGUAUUCUCUGCUUUUGAAAAGUCAAAUAGCUGGGUCCUGUACUUAAAGUUUGGUAAGUGAAUUUAUACAUUCAGAAUAUGAUCUAGAUCAGACUUUUCUCCUCGGACUCUAAUGUUGUGCCUAUGACAUCUAUGUGCCUUCUGCUCUUGAAUUAAGCUACAUGACUAGUUUCUGCCUCGCGUGCUCUCACAUCCCUAUUCUCUGUAUGCACCAUCUGCAAACCUUACUGCAGUGAAACACUUGAGAGAUGGAGGGAUCAAGAGAUGUCGCAUUGAUGAGGAACAAGGAGGAAGAUGUUGAAAUGAAUAUUUCAUGUUCUCAGAAGCCAAGAGUGCUUUCUAAACAAAAGAAUCUGGAGAGAGGAGCAAAGUUCAGUACAAGCAUCUUGGCACUGCAUUCAUUCAUCGUCCUGUUGGAGAAACACCCGAUUCUUCUACGUGGAACUAACUGAACAUUUAGAAUUCAGGAGCCCUCCCAGGCGACCUGAAGUAUUAUUUCAAGGGUAGACAUGUCUAUCAGUGACCUUUUACCUGUCCUUGUUACAUGACAACCAUGCCUCUCUGACAGUUUCUUACUUACUUUUUUGUCUUUUCAAAUACAGAUAUUCAAUUGAAAUUUGUUUUAAUCACUGCUCACAUUAGCAAGUGUUACACAAAGCAAAAUAACUGUAAAUGUCCCAUCCUCUGAAAUACAAAUGAAUUUUGUUUGUAAAGACAGCUUCCUUCCUAUUUUUUUUUUUUUUUUUCUUGAAGAAACAGGUCUGAAUAUGUUUUUUUCCAGAUAAGAAACAUUCUCUUGUGGCUCUAGAUAGGAACUGGACCGAUAAGAUAGCCACUGAAAUUCUAGUUGGUACAUCAGAGAGAGCUUUGAAGAGUCCUAAAGAAAAAGUCAAUUAUUUUAUGAGAAUUUACAGAUUGUGAGCCUGAAGCUUACUGCAAUAUCUUACCUCUGGCUCAGCCCCUGGGACCAGAAUGUAAGUUUAUUGGUUUUGAAAGUCAUCUUCUGAUUACCCGGUUUGCCCACACAGGCUAAGGAAAUGUGCUCACUCAUUCCAUUAAGUUGUUGAACAACAGCGUAUUUUUUUAGCAAAGGAUUUAUUAUUUAUCUUCAGGUGAUGGAAAAAUCUGCCCCAUCUGAGUCAAGUACUCCAAUGGUAUCAAUAACGGGCAUGAAAAUAAGGAAUUCUGGCCUAUCUUUAACAAAAGGUAUCGGUUGUUUUCGGAGGUAGGUAUAUUAUGUAUAAUAGCAUCUUUGUUGCUCUUCCUCAUUCCAAACAGAAGAGUGCAAAAAUAAACUGAAAACCUAGUUAAUUAGUCAGGAUAUCAAAGGAGAUAACCUGAAUAAAGCAAAACCAUGACCCAGCUAAAACAUGCAGAUUAUGGGGUAACUUCACAUAUUUAAUUUUCUGAUUGUUUACAUGAUUUAUUAGGGUUGGAAAGAAUUCCGUGAAAGAGUCUGCUGCUUCCAUUGCUUCUGAUUCUGGGGCAGCCCAAGAAAGCCAGUAUGAGCACACGUGCAUUCUGGUGUUACAUAUAGCUGGUGGCACCACUACAGCAACAAGCUUUGGGUUUAGAUGGAUACAGCUUCUCAACUGUGGCUUUAAGCAAACCACAUUUGUAACUAUGUCACAUGUCCUCUCAUGCUCCUAACUUAUGGAAUCCAUUGAAUUAAUUUAGAGAUGGCUAACUGAAUUGAACAAAGGGUUAGCUAGAGAAACUUGCUAAACUUCACCCUGCCAAGUGCAUCAGGAUAUGGCAUGAAUGAAAAGGAUCUGGCAUCUGUUUUCUUCAUUCUUGAGAUAAUUCAAUUAGGAGACUACAGAGAUUCUUCUUACUCUAUGAGAUGCAAGUACAUGGAAGUGCUGCAAGAAUGUAUCACCUCACUAUUGCAAUCCUCUGUCAUAUCGCUAGGUUCCAACAUUGUCAUAUUUUCUAGCACACAUUUGGCUCCUUUAUUUCCUCGCUGCAGGAAAGGGAGCUGGAAAGAGCCUUGUCCAUAACCUGGUCAAGCCUGGCUCAAGGCAUGUUCAAUUCUAGCGAGACCGUACCACAUGGAUGUGGACUUAGAGUCUCAAAUUUCCUAUGACAGUUUAUUUCAGUGUCUACUAUGUUUUUCACCACUGUCUGAACUUAAAUGGCCUCUGCUGCAUCAGGCAACAGUAUGAGUGUCACAUGAAAGGCAGCCUCCUAUGUCAGAUACACAGAAAUGGGAUAUUCAUACUCCACAUCAAAGGGCUGAGACAAUGCUGCAAAAUUUCUCUCCUGCCAGCAUUCUAUCUAGAACCAUCUUUCCAGUGUGUCCUGUUUUAGGGAAGGAAUUAUCCAAAAUGAAAACCAUGAUUUUGGAUUACAAAAAGUUAAUCAAGUGCAUUGUUGGUGGCGAUGCGAAUUAGGCUGCCCACCCAGCUCUUACUUGAGAUCUCCCUAUGGGGUGGUCAGAUCGUUGUCAUGCUGGAAAUGAACAGCAGUGAGUGUUUCCAUUCUUGCUGUCUGUCUGAAAGAGUCCCACUUCUUGCUUUCAGCAUAGGUUACACCCCCCCACCUCCCCCCAGAAAACAGAAAUAGGGAGAAUGUGAAUUUCUGAAAUGAAAUAUUCUGAGAUCAUUCUCCCCUUCUAUAAUGUAAAAUGUACAUAAAAUGCUAAGAAAAAGCUAAUAAAGGCAUCUUAAAAA